ACGGUCUCUCUUAGCUCCCUAACAAACGCUCUCCCUUCUCUCUAGAACCUUCUGGUUCCUAAUUCUCCGAUGAAGCUCGUCGCCUCUCCGACCAUACUCCUCCCUCACUUCUCUCGAUCUCUAGUCACCAUGGAACCCCCAUCUUGCUGUUUCUCUCUUAAAUUUGAAGCCCAGAAGCUUCUGCCAUGAAAGACGGUUGCUGAAGCUUUUCCUGGGGUCUGUCGCCGGCUUUUCUCCGGUGGGUUUUUGUCCGAUGAUGCCUUCUAUGGCAUUACUAAUGAGUUUCACGACCAGGUUUCUCAUUUCCCUUAUUUAUUUUGCAACCUAAGGUUUUGCCCAAAUCUCUUAAACCUGUGUCUUCUUACGCGAUUUCCGAUUUAAUCUUUGUUUUAUACACUACUUUUCACUCGAUAUCUUUGAUUAAUUCAAGUUUUCAAAUGUUUUGUUCCUCUUUUCAGAACUAGGGUUUGUGAACCCUUUUUUUUUAAUUAUUAGGCUUUUGUUUCUUUGGGAAUUAUGUGAUUAUUCCUAUGAUUUUUCUUGAAAGCUUGUUGUUGCUGAGUUCCAUGCUUGAUGUCUCUUCUAGGGCUCCGACCCUCUACUGUUUGUAUGAUUCCUUGCUUGGGGUUUUUAAUUUCUACGACCUUUUAAGUUCGAAUGCCUUUCUCUUUAUUGAAUAUCCUAUUAGUUCCGAGUAUCUUGUUUGAAUCCCUGAUUCGUAUGUGUUAUUACAUUGAUUUCAAAUUAUUUCCUUAUUUGUGAGUUGAUUUCUGUGUUUGGGAUUAAUUCCCUCUAAUUUUGGUCUUGCCCAGGAUUCUUUGAUUGACUGUUUAUAGUUGAUUUAUAUUGCUUGCCAUAUUUGUGCACUUGAGUAUAUUUUGGUUAUUCAGCAUAUAUUUUCCUUGUUUGAAGUACUGUGUACCUAGCUUUUAUUAUGUACAGCAUGCCUACUGCUUUCAUUAUGGUAUAAUAAGUUAUUCAACUGAUUUUUCCAUAAUUUGAUAGCACGUACUCCUAUUCGAAUCAUGAGUCUCUAAUUUAGUUGAAUUAGCACCCGUGAUUGAUUUAAUUUUGUACAGUUUCUAUAAUUAUAUACUCCUUUUCCUAUUCUCUAUUAUUUUUCGAAAACUAUAAGUACUGCUCUUCCUUUUUCACUUAGCACACCAACACACUACAAUCUUUCUGAACUCUCUUUCAAUAACACUCAAUGCUCUCUCUUUCUCUAUUAUUUCUAUACAAACUCUCUCAUUCUCCUAUUGAAAAAUGAAUCGGCCAAAAGCCAAGAUUGAGUAAUCUUGGCUGUUUAUUUCUACUACAGGACUCUACUUCAUUGUUUACUUGGGUUUACCUGCUGCUUGCUUCUCUGCACACUGCUGCUCUCACUCUUUGCACAAUCUCUGCACACUUGGCUCUCCUUUGUGCACUAUUGCUCAUCGCUAAUGUUUCUAUUAUCUGCAACUGGUAUGUCACCUCUUUAAGUUACAACCUCAAAAACAAUAUGCUUCUAUUGGUUCUUCACUUCCUCCUGUUUUCUUGUGUGCUUUUACUUAUAUUUCUGCUAUCCUCAUUGAAGCUUGUACUUAUUAGUUUACCUAGCUUGACUUAGCAUGUUCAACACCCCUUCCCUAUCUCAAUGUAUGAGUUUUCAUUCCUAUGCACUACUAGCAUGUAUUCAGGCCUGCUUGGUUACUUAACAAUCUUGAAGCCUCUUCCUAAGGAUAAUUAUGUUUGGGAGUUUGGUGCAGUAAGAACUGGACUCCUUGUCUGCAGCCAUGUUUGAUUUCUUAUCUUUGAUAUGUUGUACAUGUGAAUGGUUUCUUUGCUUAUUUGUUCCCUUUCCCUUUGCC
rnacentral:lncRNA from 1 species